AAAUAUUCCUGGGCCAGGAGAUGGUGACGGAUCGCAGGUGUAGUUCCUCCUUAUCGGAUUGGAGGGGCUGCUGAGCGGUUCCUGGAAAUAGCCCUCCACAAGACCGUACCCUAAACCGACACAGGUGGACUGGUAGAGAAUACCAAGGCGCUUGAGAGAACCACAUUUAAGGAACUCGGCAAAAUACCUCCGUAAGUUCGCGAGAAGGAGGCCCGAUUGGUGCGCAAGCAUCGGUCGGGGGCACAAACCAGGGGGUGGCGACUGUUUACUAAAAACACAGGGCUCUGCGAAGCCGUAAGGCGACGUAUAGGGUCUGACGCCUGCCCGGUGCCGGAAGGUUAAAAGGAGAGGUGCAAGCCUUGAAUUGAAGCCCCGGUAAACGGCGGCCGUAACUAUAACGGUCCUAAGGUAGCGAAAUUCCUUGUCGGGUAAGUUCCGACCUGCACGAAUGGCGUAACGACUUCCCCGCUGUCUCAAAUGUGGACUCAGCGAAAUUGAACUGUCUGUGAAGAUGCAGACUUCCCGCGGUUAGACGGAAAGACCCCAUGCACCUUUACUAUAGCUUCGCACUGGCAUCAGGAUUGCGAUGUGCAGGAUAGGUGGUAGGCAUUGAAGCGGGGACGCCAGUUCCCGUGGAGCCAUCCUUGAGAUACCACCCUUCGCACUCUUGAUGUCUAACCGCGGCCCGUUAUCCGGGUCCGGGACCCUGCGUGGUGGGUAGUUUGACUGGGGCGGUCGCCUCCCAAAGAGUAACGGAGGCGCGCGAAGGUUGGCUCAGAGCGGUCGGAAAUCGCUCGUUGAGUGCAAUGGCAGAAGCCAGCCUGACUGCAAGACUGACAAGUCGAGCAGAGACGAAAGUCGGCCAUAGUGAUCCGGUGGUCCCGAGUGGAAGGGCCAUCGCUCAACGGAUAAAAGGUACGCUGGGGAUAACAGGCUGAUGAUGCCCAAGAGUCCAUAUCGACGGCAUCGUUUGGCACCUCGAUGUCGCCUCAUCUCAUCCUGGGGCUGGAGCAGGUCCCAAGGGUAUGGCUGUUCGCCAUUUAAAGAGGUACGUGAGCUGGGUUUAGAACGUCGUGAGACAGUUCGGUCCCUAUCUGCCGUGGGUGUAGGAUACUUGAGAGGAGUUGCCCCUAGUACGAGAGGACCGGGGUGAACGUUCCACUGGUGGACCAGUUGUCGUGCCAACGGCAGUGCUGGGUAGCUAUGAACGGACAGGAUAAACGCUGAAGGCAUCUAAGCGUGAAGCCCCCCUCAAAACAAGGUAUCCCUUGAGAGCCGUGGAAGACCACCACGUCGAUAGGCCGGAGAUGUAAGUGCAGCAAUGCAUUCAGUUGACCGGUACUAAUGGCUCC
rnacentral:rRNA from 1 species